UUUACCUGAAAAUCCGGACAAAAGACAGAGAAAAAUAUUUUUAGGAGGUCAUGUUUUUUCAAAAUCGACAGCUACUACACGCAAGCAGUAUUCUGUUUAGAAUUGUGACCAAAACCUACCUAGAUGAAAGAUCUACUUCCUGCGAGCAAUUAUUUUUCAAAUAAAUUUGAUAAAAAGGCCUGUUAGAGUCGAUCAUUUCAGAUAAUUUCUAUUUUCUCUUUUUUUCAUACAGACAUCAUCAUUUCACUAAUGAUUUGAAAUAAACAUGUGUAUUUAUGAUAAAAAUCCAUAAUAUCAUUAUUAGGCCAAUACACAUAAAAGUCAGAUGUGUCAAUUUUAUUUUUAGAAACAGUUGCGGUCACAAAGUAAUUGACAGAAUUAAAUGUAAAUUUCAGCAUAUUUUUUCACACAAAAAUGUGUUUGUGCGUAGAAAUGUGAUCAGGCUGAGCACAUGGCCUCAUGGAUUACACACUUUUCGGCGCUUAACGUGAAAACAAUUUAAGGACAAGAUUCACAAGCAUUCAAUUUAUGCUUAAAUGUACAUGCGAUACAUUAUGCAUAUGAAUAUAGUUCACGAUAGUAUCGCAUAUGGAAGUAACUGGAAUAAAUUUGGACUAUUUCCUCCGGAUGUUUACAUGACUGUGCUGUCAAAAGGCCUCCCAUGUGUUUACAUAUUUGACAGGUCGAGUUGCUCUUGCAGGAACGACGAUAAGAUGAAUACCUGCACCAUGGAAAUAUUGUAGAUCUAAUUUGUAAACUGUCGUGGAACCUGUGUUCGGCUCGCACAUUUCCUAUUCAACAAGAAUGCAUGAUGGAGACCAACAGUACAGAAAGGCUAAUGUCAAUAUUCAUAGAGUCUACAAUAUUCUUGUAUGAAAAAGAAACGAUGUCUAUGAAGAAGUAAAUUGAUCCAAAUAAGCAAUUGGACAAUGAAUGUUAUAAUUACCAAGAAGAAGACUGCAUUUUAUACAGUUGAAGUAUGAUAUAGUGAAUAAAUACCCUCAAUGCAGCCUUAUGGGGCUUUGGCUGGACCAUGAACAGUAGACAUCAAAAAGAUGCACAUCUAAAGGGCCGCAAGUGUUCGAAGCAUUGGUCAACAAAACAAAAGCAAAAAAAAACAAAAACAAAAAAAAACAACUGAACUAUUUGAUGGAUCAUACGGAAUGUACAAUCAGAUUUCCAGAAUCAGAGAUAUAGAAGUAUCAAGUGUUAGAGUUAGGAAAAUAUGCAACAUGCAUGAAGACCCUGCCUAAUAGAUUAAUUUGCAAAAUACAUUGAAAUCUCACAAUUGCUAAUGGAAGUUAAGGAUGGAGUACUCUUCUGGAAAAUAUGUGUCCAGACAAUACUGCAACAACGUUGUUUCUUUUUUCCAAUUUUCUAAGCAUAAUUCUACAUAUUAAUUAUACAUAAAAAUUGUAACAUAGUUACAUGAAUAAUACAAAACGUGUAGUCAUAUUUCCAGACAUAAACUGGGAGAAUCAGAGAAGAAAUAUCAAGAAUUAUGGAAAAAGAAAUGUCUGUCAUGUAUGAGGAACCUGCUUUAUAUAAAUUUACAAAAUACAAACAAAGUCAAUUAUUUAAACCUGAUUUCAAGACGCAUAAUCAAACUCGAUCUGUACUAGAGCGCCUACUACAUCCGAUUUACAUUUGGAACAUUUUCACGCGUUUUGGGCUUUAUCGUAUGUUUAACAUGGGACUGUUGAACCGUCCAAAUACAGAAAAUACAGGAUUUUUUGUACUCACGUGCGUCCAAAUACAGAAGAUUUUUUGUACUCACGUGCGUCCAAAUACAGAAAAUACAGGAUAUUUUGUACGCGAUUGGAUAGAUAAAAUGGAUAAAGAAUAAAUCUUAAUAUUUUACUAUCUUGAUUUUAAGCAUUUAAUUCCAUAGUAUGCUUACAGUGUGAUUUGCAGGUUGUGCUUUCUCAAAAACUUGGUAUUACUUAACCAGUGUUUUUGUGAUUAAGUAUCUCUGUGAUAUGUUUUGUUUGUUAUAUUUGUCCACUAGAUUUUUGUCUCUACAUAUUGAAUUUAAUUAGCUAUGAUAAGUUCACCUGUGAUAUGCAAAUUAAUUGUGAAUUCAAAGUUUUAUAUCGGUGUCUUUAAGUUUGCCUCUCUGUGCCAUGCCACCAAUAUUAUUAGGACCUGAAUGAAAAUAAUCGCUGGCGUAUUAUGCCCCACCCCCUUCGAAGAAGGAGGGGUAUAUUGUUUUGCAGAUGUUGGUCGGUCUGUCGGUCGGUCGGUCUGUAUUUAGACCAAUCCGUUUCCGGAUGAUGGCUCAAGAACGCUUGGGCCUAGAAUCAUGAAAGUUGAAUGGGAGGUUUGUCAUGACCAGCAGAUGACCCCUGUCGAUUAAAACAGUUUCCAGACGAUAACUCAAGAUUGCUUAGGCCUAGAAUCAUGAAAAUUGAUAGAGAGGUUGGUCAUGACCAGCAGAUGACCCCUAUUGAUUUUGAGGUUAGUAGGUCAAAAUUCAAGGUCACAGUGACCAGGAACAGUAAAACGGUUUCUGGGUGACAACUCAAGAACGCUUGGGCCUAGGAUCAGGAAAAUUGAUAGAGAGAUUGGUCAUAACCAGCAGAUGCCCUCUAUUGAUUUUGAUGUCAUUUGGUCAAAGGUCAAGGUUAUAAUGACCAGAAACAUUUACACUAUUUCCAGACAAUAACUUGAGAAUGCUUGGACAUAGGAUCAUGAAACUUGAUAGGGAGGUUGGUCAUGACCUGUAGAUGACCCUAUAGAUUUUGAGAUCUGUAGGCUAAAGGUCAAGGUCACAUUGACCCGGAACAGUUAAACCCUUUCCAGACGAUACCUUGAGAACGCUUGGGCUUAGGCUCACUAAAAUUGAUAGGGAGGUUGAUCAUUACCAGGAGAUGACCCCUGUUGAUUUUGAGGUCAGUAGGUCAAAGGUCAAUGUCCCAUUGAACCAGAACAGUAGAACUUUUGUUUACAGGGAGCAAAUAAUUUCUGUUCCUUAUGCAAUAACUGAAUGCAUCAAGGGGGGCAUUUCGUGUUCGACGAGCUCUUUUUAUGUUAUCUUUGGAAGCAUGUCAUGGUUUAAUUUGCAUUUUUUCUCAACUGAAACUUAUAUUCAUUAUAUUCUAGUAAUGCCUUUAUUUUAUUGUAUUUGUUUGUAAACCAUUGUA